rnacentral:rRNA from 1 species
CCUACGGGAGGCAGCAGUGGGGGAUAUUGCACAAUGGGGGAAACCCUGAUGCAGCGACGCCGCGUGGGUGAAGGAGCAUUUCGGUGCGUAAAGCCCUAUCGGCAGGGAAGAAAAUGACGGUACCUGACUAAGAAGCCCCGGCUAACUACGUGCCAGCAGCCGCGGUAAUACGUAGGGGGCAAGCGUUAUCCGGAUUUACUGGGUGUAAAGGGGGCGCAGACGGCAGUGCAAGUCUGGAGUGAAAGCCCGGGGCUCAACCAUGGAACUGCUUUUGAAACUGGACGGCUGGAGUACAGGAGGGGUAGGCGGAAUUCCUAGUGUAGCGGUGAAAUGCGUAGAUAUUAGGAGGAACACCAGUGGCGAAGGCGGCCUGCUGGACUGUGACUGACGUUGAGGCUCGAAGGCGUGGGGAGCAAACAGGAUUAGAUACCCCGGUAGUC